GACGAACGCUGGCGGCGUGCUUAACACAUGCAAGUCGAACGGUAAGGCCCUUCGGGGUACACGAGUGGCGAACGGGUGAGUAACACGUGGGUGAUCUGCCCUGCACUUCGGGAUAAGCCUGGGAAACUGGGUCUAAUACCGGAUAGGACCCUGGGAUGCAUGUCCUGGGGUGGAAAGCUUUUGCGGUGUUGGAUGGGCCCGCGGCCUAUCAGCUUGUUGGUGGGGUGAUGGCCUACCAAGGCGACGACGGGUAGCCGGCCUGAGAGGGUGACCGGCCACACUGGGACUGAGAUACGGCCCAGACUCCUACGGGAGGCAGCAGUGGGGAAUAUUGCACAAUGGGCGCAAGCCUGAUGCAGCGACGCCGCGGGAGGGAUGACGGCCUUCGGGUUGUAAACCUCUUUCAGCACCGACGAAGCGCAAGUGACGGUAGGUGCAGAAGAAGGACCGGCCAACUACGUGCCAGCCGCCGCGGUAA
rnacentral:rRNA from 1 species